AGGAAAACAUAGAUGAAAAGGACUGGAAGAUAAGCACGACCCAAACGACAGAACAACUCAAGAAGUAUUCACUCCAAGGAAUGACUUUAGCUUCAAUGUUAUACUUGAGCCUGAAAAUUAAUCUUGGAAAGAUCCACAGAGGACUUUAACAUAUGGUGGUAUGAUCAGAAAGACAGAUUAAGAAAUUCAUUUCAAGGAGCUCUACUAAAAUAACUCAAGUGGGAAUAUUCCUCAAGAACUUGAAUACUCAAACCAGAAGUGGAUUUAACUCAUCAAUAUGACCCUCAUCAUUCUUGGUGUUGGUGAUAUUCCUCCAGUCAGAGCUGUGAACUACAACAUGGGGAGCUGUUGGAAUCUUUUUCAGUUUCUACAUUUACAACAAGUUCAAGUCAUGGUGGGCUCGCCACACUUACUCUCUCUCAGCUACAUUAGAUGCGAGACUUGCUUUCAUGAGUGUGGUUCUCUACUUUGCCCUCCAAAGUGAUGACAUUUUAGGUCCAACUUGGUGGGGUGCGAUGCUGACCACUACCCUUUGGCCAAAUGCCCUACAGCGCCAGGCGUAAUUGCUCAUGGAUGUCCUACUCUAUGACACCCAUGAUCAUCUUCAAAAGUUUCCUUCUUCAUCUUCAUAAGUUUGUAGAUAUUGUCUUUUAUUUCUUUCUUGUUUUCUAUCUUCUUCCAUUGUACAAACCCAAUCGAAUACCAUGUUGAACAAGCUGUACAGAUUGGUUAUGUUUGCUGCAUAACAAAAUUUGUAUUUGUAGAGAUUAUUCUGCUUGAAUUCGAUCCACAUUUAUUUAUG